AGAUGUGAUCAUAACAGCACUAACGCACCAGAUCCCAUCAGAACACCGAAGCUAAGCGUGCUUGGGCGAGAGUAGUACUAGAAUGGGUGACCCCAUGGGAAAUCCUCGUGUUGCAUCUC
rfam:Nicotiana sylvestris Nsyl_contig33635, whole genome shotgun sequence.